rnacentral:tRNA from 1 species
GCCCCCGUAGCUCAAUUGGAUAGAGCGUGUGGUUUCUACCCACAAGGUUGCAGGUUCGAUUCCUGCCGGGGGUACCA